GAGUUUGAUCCUGGCUCAGAUUGAACGCUGGCGGCAUGCCUUACACAUGCAAGUCGAACGGCAGCAUGAUCUAGCUUGCUAGAUUGAUGGCGAGUGGCGAACGGGUGAGUAACACAUCGGAACGUGCCCUGUAGUGGGGGAUAACUAGUCGAAAGAUUAGCUAAUACCGCAUACGACCUGAGGGUGAAAGUGGGGGACCGCAAGGCCUCAUGCUAUAGGAGCGGCCGAUGUCUGAUUAGCUAGUUGGUGGGGUAAAGGCCCACCAAGGCGACGAUCAGUAGCUGGUCUGAGAGGACGAUCAGCCACACUGGGACUGAGACACGGCCCAGACUCCUACGGGAGGCAGCAGUGGGGAAUUUUGGACAAUGGGCGAAAGCCUGAUCCAGCAAUGCCGCGUGUGUGAAGAAGGCCUCGG
rnacentral:rRNA from 1 species